rnacentral:lncRNA from 1 species
AAGGCUUUGGAAAUUUUAUUCUUUACAGAAUUUGAAUAGGUUGUUUUGUUUUGUUUAAACACAAUAAAUACUUCAGCAAUAGCAUUUAACAGACCAGAAUUUAAACCCACUGCAGUACCUAAACUCCCAGAGACAGGGCUCCAGGACAGCAAUCGGGGUCCCAGGGCCCACGGCAGCUUCAUCCGAUUCCUGUUUUGGGACAACCCCAGACAAGAGGGACCAAGCACACUUGGCUCCAGUGGGGAGUGCAGCAGAGUAUCCAGGCUCCUGCCGACAGCAGCUCCUUGGGAAGGCUCAGCAGGGAAGGGACAGAACCAAACCACCACAAGCACCAAAGCGUCUUUCCCUGACUCAUUUCACAGCACUGGGACCUUGAGAGCAGCUGCUGCAACAGGGGCUGCACGGGGGCUUGGUGACAGAAAACCGAGCCCAGGUGGUGCCUCCAAACUUGCUUCUGGAAGGACGAGGCAGCAUCACUAACUGCUCCCACACCUUGCCCAGGAAAACUGAACAGCCACAUGGACAUGGGCCCUGGAAGAUGCUCUGAAGGGUUCACAGAAUGGUUCGGAGUGGACUCGCUCCAACAGCUCCACGUCCUUCUUAUGUUGGGGCCCCAGAGCUGAGUUGCAGAGAUGGUCCCUGUCCUGCAUUUACAGGGCCUUGUUACAACUGACCUAAGUGAGAUUAAAACAGCUCCCAAAGUGCAGCCUACAGGUACGAGUACACCUGGGAGGUAAUGCUGGUCCAGCUCCAUUUAAAUAAGUGUUUCCAGAGCCUGAGAAGCUCAUGCUUACAACAUGGGGAUCCCCCAGCUCUGGCAAAGCUGCCUCUAGCAGGUGGCUGAUGUUUACAAGAGGAGAGGCUUCUGCCAAGCCCCUGCAGUGACCAGCCGCCAAAGAGAGGAGGUAACUGGAGCACAGUCACACUGGAGGAAGAGCCAAGCUAAAACCAACAGCACGUAGGUCCUUGUUUGUAGGCCUGGUCAGCCACAGCAUCUGUAUUUGUAAAACAUCACCUUUAGAUGGCCCAAAGCCCAGGAGGUCCCAAAACCUGCACCUCACCCUCCACCCCAGCUCUACUUGUGAGCUCCUGCACUGGGUUCCUGGAUCAGUGCAGAGGCAGGAGCUGUGAUAGGAAACACAAGACCAAGAUGAUAAAGGCUGCAAGUGAGAUUCCUGCUCCGCCUCAGCUACGCAAGCCCUGUGUUGACACCUUGGCGCAUCCCAGGCUCCCACAAAAACCUGCUUCAGAGCAAAGCAUGGUGAGGAUGAGGAGGAGCUGGCGGCACUGGCCACCUCCUCCCACAGCACAAGGACCUGUCCGGAGACUGACAUCUCCAAGGACUGCAGCCCUCCCUGAACAGGCUUCUUCCUGGUCAUACUGUGUCUUGAGAUAAAGCAUGCAGAAGAGAUUUAGGAAAGCAUAAGACAGUCCUGUUACCAACUCAGCAGGUCCAUCAGCAAUUAAGAAAAUAGGACUCACACUGUCCCUGGAAGCAGAUAUCCCUGGAAGAAGAGACACCACCAAUCAGCUCUCAAAUACUGAGCAGGAGCAGAGGAGCAAGCGCACAACCCUACCCCAUCCCAAGGAGCACAUCUCACCGCAAUGAGAGUCGAGCCAGCAUGCUCCACUGUAACAUGAUUACCACCAGAUGCUCUCAGCAAGGAAUACGUUUAUUCUUAAGACUUCAAACCAUUCUGAUUAAUUGUUUGUUUCUCAGCACACCACACCCCACCACGGCAAGAAGGUUUGGUCAUUGUUUCCAUUCCCCUACCAGAAUCUGGAGCAAAAUCACUUCAAUUUAACAGCCCAAACGGAAGCCUCCAGCUUCACAGUAGCACGAGCUGGGAAGGGUCGUACGUGCAGCGAGAUCAGGUCUGAACCUUCCUUGCUCUGCCACAAGUCUGGUAGUGCUAGAGGCAAGCGAGCCUGCUUUCCAGCACUGAUUGAAUGAGACAGUUUUUCUAGUUUCAAGGUGCAACAAAUUAAGGCACCAAAAAUCCAGGACUCUCCAAAGAUCAAGCCAGUGCAGAUAGGAAGCAGUUCCAGUUUUUAACACGUUUCUCCUACAGCACAAGUAUUUGCAGGACUUCAGAGAGAAAGCCCUCCUUCCAUGUGUUUGUAUUUUCACAAAGGGGUUUUCCAGGGUGUGUUUCAUGUUGCAA